GAUGAAGAACGUAGCGAAAUGCGAAAAGUAAUGUGAAUUGCAGAAUUCAGUGAAUCAUCGAAUCUUUGAACGCACAUUGCGCCCGCCAGUAUUCUGGCGGGCAUGCCUGUCUGAGCGUCAUUUCAACCCUCAUGCCCCUAGGGCGUGGUGUUGGGGAUCGGCCAGCGCCCGCGAGGGACGGCCGGCCCCUAAAUCUAGUGACGGACCCGUCGUGGCCUCCCCUGCGAAGUAGUGAUAUUCCGCAUAGGAGAGCGACGAGCCCCUGCCGUUAAACCCCCAACUUUCUAAGGUUGACCUCAGAUCAGGUAGGAAUACCCGCUGAACUUAAGCAUAUCAAUAAGCGGAGGA
rnacentral:misc_RNA from 1 species